rnacentral:rRNA from 1 species
UACGAAGGGGGCUAGCGUUGCUCGGAAUCACUGGGCGUAAAGCGCACGUAGGCGGAUCUUUAAGUCAGGGGUGAAAUCCUGGAGCUCAACUCCAGAACUGCCUUUGAUACUGGGGAUCUCGAGUCCGGAAGAGGUGAGUGGAACUGCGAGUGUAGAGGUGAAAUUCGUAGAUAUUCGCAAGAACACCAGUGGCGAAGGCGGCUCACUGGCCCGAUACUGACGCUGAGGCACGAAAGCGUGGGGAGCAAACAGG